CGGGAUGCGGCCGUUUGGAAGAGCUGAUCAACUACCAUCACCACCAUCGAAAAUAUUCUUAUUUUGUUUCCCAGCCAUGUCUCCAGUCUGGCUCUUUGCUGGCGAACUUCUGCUGUUCGUAAGCAUCCGUUAACUUGCGCAAUGCUUGCUUCCGAUUCUGCUGCCGCUAGGAGUCCUGGUAACGGCUUGCGGGAACCUUCCGUCAGUUUUUAUUUUCAUGUCCGAUGAUGGGAACGAUCAAAAGUUUCCCAUGUUUGAUUUUGGUGUCCUGGUGCCAUUUGGGAACCAGGUGAUCGUCGUCCGUUUUACUGGGAGGUUGCACAUGAUCGGAACUAUCGACGGUUUCCUUAUCGGGGCAAGUUCUUCAUCUUACAGAACUUUAUUCGGAACUAAAUGAGGCCACUUCCUUAGCAAUCGUUUGCAAAGCGAUUUCGGAGAUUUUACUAUUUCCCGUUGGUUAUUCGAACUAAAUAAACCGCCCCCCAACCCCCCACCUCAUCGGCGAUCAAAAUAAGAUAAGAACUAAAGGGACCACAACAAGUUCGCGGGAUGCGGCCCUUGAAAAAAGAUGACCAACAACAAAAAGGAAGCAUCCCUCGGAUGGCUCUCGAGGACUGCAUCUAUGCAUCUAUUGCGCGCUAUCUGGGAACGACUAUCAGCUCCCUUAGGGCGCUUGUUCAAUACUGUAAUGUCUCUUGGUGUGAUAACUCAAAGCCAAAGCACCGCUUCAAGUGAAGCUGUUCGUUUGAUACAGUUUCAAAUUGCCUCCUUCCCCCCUGAAUUAUUCAGCCGCUACAUAUACAUGGACUGGACCACCAGAUGAUGGCGAUCUAGAAGUUGGUCCGCCUCUCAGUUUGGACUGUUGCCCUUCUCCGAAGAAAGAGAAAAGGAAAUUUUACUUGGCUUUGCUGUUCCUUCAUCGACCGAAAAGGCCAUUCGGGUUUCACGGAUCUCUGCUAAUGGUGGCCAAGAGGAAUCAAAUUUUUAUAUUAAUCGGAACAACACGCCAAGAUGUUCAAAAUACAAUAAAUAGCGACCAGUAUUAAUCAACAGUAUCGAGAAAGUCGUUAGAUGGGGUUAACUACAUUGACUUCACCAAACAAAUAGACGGCUAAGGUACCCAAAAAGCAACAAAACGGGGUUUCAGGGCCUUACGCCAAAAGUUUCUUCUGAGGGACGCAUGCUAUCAGGGAUAGUUUUGAAAGGAGGAGCGGGGGGCAACUGCUUUUUUUGCAUUCUUUUUGAGUUCCUUCGGAUGGAUUCCGGUGACGGUAUUGAUGA